GAUGAACGCUGGCGGCGUGCCUAAUACAUGCACGUCGAGCGAACGGACGAGAAGCUUGCUUCUCUGAUGUUAGCGGCGGACGGGUGAGUAACACGUGGAUAACCUACCUAUAAGACUGGGAUAACUUCGGGAAACCGGAGCUAAUACCGGAUAAUAUUUUGAACCGCAUGGUUCAAAAGUGAAAGACGGUCUUGCUGUCACUUAUAGAUGGAUCCGCGCUGCAUUAGCUAGUUGGUAAGGUAACGGCUUACCAAGGCAACGAUGCAUAGCCGACCUGAGAGGGUGAUCGGCCACACUGGAACUGAGACACGGUCCAGACUCCUACGGGAGGCAGCAGUAGGGAAUCUUCCGCAAUGGGCGAAAGCCUGACGGAGCAACGCCGCGUGAGUGAUGAAGGUCUUCGGAUCGUAAAACUCUGUUAUUAGGGAAGAACAUAUGUGUAAGUAACUGUGCACAUCUUGACGGUACCUAAUCAGAAAGCCACGGCUAACUACGUGCCAGCAGCCGCGGUAAUACGUAGGUGGCAAGCGUUAUCCGGAAUUAUUGGGCGUAAAGCGCGCGUAGGCGGUUUUUUAAGUCUGAUGUGAAAGCCCACGGCUCAACCGUGGAGGGUCAUUGGAAACUGGAAAACUUGAGUGCAGAAGAGGAAAGUGGAAUUCCAUGUGUAGCGGUGAAAUGCGCAGAGAUAUGGAGGAACACCAGUGGCGAAGGCGACUUUCUGGUCUGUAACUGACGCUGAUGUGCGAAAGCGUGGGGAUCAAACAGGAUUAGAUACCCUGGUAGUCCACGCCGUAAACGAUGAGUGCUAAGUGUUAGGGGGUUUCCGCCCCUUAGUGCUGCAGCUAACGCAUUAAGCACUCCGCCUGGGGAGUACGACCGCAAGGUUGAAACUCAAAGGAAUUGACGGGGACCCGCACAAGCGGUGGAGCAUGUGGUUUAAUUCGAAGCAACGCGAAGAACCUUACCAAAUCUUGACAUCCUUUGACAACUCUAGAGAUAGAGCUUUCCCCUUCGGGGGACAAAGUGACAGGUGGUGCAUGGUUGUCGUCAGCUCGUGCCGUGAGAUGUUGGGUUAAGUCCCGCAACGAGCGCAACCCUUAAGCUUAGUUGCCAUCAUUAAGUUGGGCACUCUAAGUUGACUGCCGGUGACAAACCGGAGGAAGGUGGGGAUGACGUCAAAUCAUCAUGCCCCUUAUGAUUUGGGCUACACACGUGCUACAAUGGACAAUACAAAGGGCAGCGAAACCGCGAGGUCAAGCAAAUCCCAUAAAGUUGUUCUCAGUUCGGAUUGUAGUCUGCAACUCGACUACAUGAAGCUGGAAUCGCUAGUAAUCGUAGAUCAGCAUGCUACGGUGAAUACGUUCCCGGGUCU
rnacentral:rRNA from 1 species